UCAUAUGCAGUAUGUGUACAUAAUGACAUGUAGGAUGCAGCAACUUUCAAAUAAAUUUAUAUAUAUAUAUUUUUUUUUCCCAGAGGCCUUUGCUGAAUCCACAUGAGCCAAUAUUUGUGCUUGCACUUAGCUCCCGUUGGAACCCACCUGCCUGCAUCUGCCAUCAUGAGAAGCACUCAGCGUUACUAAAAUCCAGAUUUGUCAGAAUGAGACUUCUGUCUGUUGUCAUUUAGCAAUACCCCACUCUGCUGAUAUGUUCAGCUUGUGGCACUGGUGGUAUGCUUAAGAAAUAAAAGGCAGAGGUCAAAUAUGCGUUGCAAUAUUCUGCAAUGUCCAUGCUCUGUGACUGAAACAUUGUAAACCAGCCAGAAGUGUAACUAUUCAAAAGACUGAUGAUAAAUUCAGAGGCAGAGGUCUGUGAGCUAAGGCUGUGAAUGCUGUCAUCUGGAAAGUGACAGAAAAAUGGCAGGAGGGUUGACAUCAUGUGCUGAAAGAAGAGUGACAGCAAGGCUGACAGAGAAGCUUAACUGGACCAUCAAGUGUGAAGAAAGGGCAACUGGAUGUAUUUCAGUGAGAAGAUGGCUGAACAAGCCCAGUUCCUUCAGCCUAUAACUAUCUAAUGGAAGGAACUAUUUUGCCCAGACAGAUUCAAAAAUCAAGAGCUGCAGAUUUAGAUCAUGGCAGAAUUUUCCUUAGAGAUUCUUGUCAGUGCUUCCCUCAUUCAACCAGGAAGAAGCUGGGUUGCCAAAUGAAUUGAAGGUGAGCCUGUUUCUGAAAGCAUCUUCAGGUUUUGUUACAUAAAUGUAACAGAUGAAGUUCUGAAUCUUUUGAAGUCUAUAGGGAAAACUACCUUUGACUUUGAUGAGGUCUGAAUUUCAUCUUUUUCCCAUCACGUCCU